GGCUUCCGGUUCCGCCCGCCGCGGCGUCGCUGGCGUCCUGUCAAGUUGGGGCCGUCGCGGACUGGAGCGGGUCUGGAUAGCAGCGGGGGGAAGGCGCAGUCAUGCCCCGCUAUUACGAGGACAAGCCGGAGGGCGGCGCGUGCGCGGGCUUGAAGGAGGACCUCGGCGCGUGCCUGCUGCAGUCGGACUGCGUGCUCCAGGAAGGAAAAUCCCCUCGGCAGUGUCUGAAGGAAGGAAACUGCAAAGCUUUGAAAUACUCAUUUUUUGAGUGUAAAAGAUCAGUGUUGGAUGCCAGAUCAAGAUUCAGGGGAAGAAAAGGAUAUUGACACUACUAUGUUGAAACCAAGAUGAAAACAACAAAGGAUUUUCUCUGUCAUUAAAACAGAGAAGCCAAAAUAAGAAACAUACUUUUUGUUACAUCUGUUCGGUUGGAGCAGUUUCUUCCCCAUGGAACACUGAAGAAAAUGGAUGAAAUUCAACAUGUAGCAAAACCAUCUGGCUCAGAAGGCGGCUGUCACAUGCUGUCUCAACCUGGGAGACAGCUGUCCCGGGCACACAGCAAUGCCGCGGGCUGUGCGAUGGCUACACGGCUCUCAGCGCUGGGGCGUCAUGAAGAAGUGACCCCACUGAGGUCACCUUCUCCAGGGGAGAUUCCCCUGUGGAACUCGUCUGGACACACGAGUGCCGUGGCGACCCUGAACAGCCAGCGUCGCCUGCGCUGACACCGCCUCAGCGCUAGCGUUAGCUCGGAAGCAACCUGAACACCUUCACCAGGUACCAGUGACUCCCCUUUCUUGAAUCAUCUCCCCAUCUUUGUUUUAUCCUGCCUGUUUCUUACUAAAGCAGAAAAGAUUUCAAAUAUAUAUUUAGCCUGACUUCAUAAGGCCUUGGCGACAUGAAAACUCAGCUCAAAGGCAUGCUGAGCUUCCUUCCUCAGAUGUGCUAAAGCACCACCACCACCCCAAGCCUCGUCUGAUCUCGCGGUGCGCUGUCUCCAUCUCACCUCGUGACUGCAGAGUUAGAAUGUGCUGCCUUCCGACCCACCCCUGAAGAGAAAAACCAAGAAUCUUAGCUCCUCUCCUUCCAUCCAUUUCUCUCUUAUCUUGGCAGCCAAGCCUACAGGAAGGCCUGGUGGGCACCAUGACAGCCGGGGGCAGACAGCCGGGCACAGGCCAUGGUGUCCGUGAGGCCCCUUGGGGGGCGGGGGGGGGGUGCUUGUCUAGCUGGCCGCGGCCCCCGUUUGCUGGGCGGUGGCACCCGGGAAGAGGAGGGGACGCUCUGUGUGGUCAGAAGGGCCUCCCUCAUCUGCCCACGGCCUCUGCCAGCCCGGAGGUGGGCACAGCACGUGUCACCCCGGGGCAGCAGGAGUGCUUUACCCAGAACAGGCUAGGAGCUAUGGAACGUGAACCGUGGGGCCUGCCUGCCCUCUUUCCAAUAAAGGAACGAGAUGGUCUCAGAAAGUCGACUUGUACACCUUGAUGUGGAGGAGGACAAGUGGUGGACACACCUCUCCACAAGAGCCACAGGCUGGCAGCACCUCACCUGUGACUAGUGUCAUGUUGCUACAACUUAACACCACCAGUCACUUGGCAUUUGGAGAGAGACUCCCUCCUGACAGAUGUCAGGAGCUGUGCCCCAGAGCAGCCACCUCACUUAUCCUAGAAAAGACAGAGCGACCACACUGCACUUGUGAGGAGAGUGGACUCAGCUGCCCUACGCUCCCGCAGUGCUCGGGUCUAGGACACAGCGGUGAGGAGGAUGCCCUUUCGUCUCAGAGUUUAAAGUCUGCAUCUGCCAUCUGUCACCCACUGCUUCUGCAGUCGUAACUGCCUCUACAGUUCCCGGAACCCAGACUCAGAUCUGAGGCCAAACCAGAGAAACCCCAGAGUAAGUUCUGGAAGUCUGGGGGAGGGAAUGGAGAGGCCAGAUUUUGUGGUGGACUGGGUUUGUGUGCGUGCCUGGGUGUAAAGUUUCUGGAAAAGCCAGCUUCUCUACAUUCACUCCAGUGUUUCUAGAGUGGUGAAAAGAAAUCCACUUCCAUAAAAUGCAAUGUAUGGGAAAGCCAGCUGGAGGCCAAAACAGAAGCACAACAUAAUCUGAGCUGGAAAACAGAGAAGCCGCCGCCCGUUUCUUAGGCAGGAUCUGUGGGUUUCCCUGUCAUCUACUCUGCUGCCUUCAGAGGUGUCUAGCCACCCUUUUCCACACAGGAAUGUUAAGGCUAUACAAAUCCUCCCAUUUUACAGACAUUGCCAUGUUCAAAUUAAGAGUGAUAAGAACAGAAACCAAAGUGACCUUUUCUCUCUCACACCUCCAUCUGGCACAACUGCCCAAAAGUCAGGCCUUAUUUUUUGGUAAAUUUUGAUUUUUUUUUUCAUAAUUAACCAUAUUUGAUUUGUAAGAGAGAAAAGGUAUCUGGACUUGAAUCUGGAAUUAAAGAUGCAGGGGUUUUUUUUUUGAUGAAAAAUGCUAUUUCAAGAAAAAUAAAUGUAUCUAACUUUAA